GAUGAACGCUGGCGGCGUGCCUAAUACAUGCCAGUCGAGCGAACAGACGAGGAGCUUGCUCCUCUGACGUUAGCGGCGGACGGGUGAGUAACACGUGUAUAACCUACCUAUAAGACUGGGAUAACUUCGGGAAACCGGAGCUAAUACCGGAUAAUAUAUUGAACCGCAUGGUUCAAUAGUGAAAGACGGUUUUGCUGUCUCUUAUAGAUGGAUCUGCGCCGCAUUAGCUAGUUGGUAAGGUAACGGCUUACCAAGGCAACGAUGCGUAGCCGACCUGAGAGGGUGAUCGGCCACACUGGAGCGGAGACACGGUCCAGACUCCUACGGGAGGCAGCAGUAGGGAAUCUGCCGCAGUGGGCGAAAGCCUGGCGGAGCAACGCGGCGUGAGUGAUGAAGGUCUUCGGAUCGUAAAACUCUGUUAUGAGGGAAGAACAGAUGUGUAAGUAACUAUGCACGUCUUGACGGUACCUAAUCAGAAAGCCACGGCUAACUACGUG
rnacentral:rRNA from 1 species